CCUACGGGAGGCAGCAGUGGGGAAUAUUGCACAAUGGGGGAAACCCUGAUGCAGCGACGCCGCGUGAAGGAAGAAGUAUUUCGGUAUGUAAACUUCUAUCAGCAGGGAAGAAAAUGACGGUACCUGACUAAGAAGCCCCGGCUAACUACGUGCCAGCAGCCGCGGUAAUACGGAGGGAGCAAGCGUUAUCCGGAUUUACUGGGUGUAAAGGGAGCGUAGGCGGUUUAGCAAGUCAGAAGUGAAAGCCCCGGGCUCAACUCCGGGACUGCUUUUGAAACUGGUGAACUUGAUUGCAGGAGAGGUAAGUAGAAUUCCUGGUGUAGCGGUGAAAUGCGUAGAGAUUAGGAGGAAUACCAGUGGCGAAGGCGGCUUACUGGACUGUAAAUGACGCUGAGGUUCGAAAGCGUGGGGAGCAAACAGGAUUAGAUACCCUAGUAGUC
rnacentral:rRNA from 1 species